GACGAACGCUGGCGGCGUGCCUAACACAUGCAAGUCGAACGGAGUCUUUUUUGUUUCACCGAGUGUUCAGGAGAUGAGCACUGGGAGAAAACGAAAAGGCUUAGUGGCGGACGGGUGAGUAACGCGUGAGCAACCUGCCUUCUUGAGGGGAAUAACGUCUGGAGACGGACGCUAAUACCGCAUAACAUCUUUUUCUGCAUGGGAGAGAGAUCAAAGGAGCAAUCCGCAAGAAGAUGGGCUCGCGUCCGAUUAGCCAGUUGGCGGGGUAACGGCCCACCAAAGCGACGAUCGGUAGCCGGACUGAGAGGUUGAACGGCCACAUUGGGACUGAGACACGGCCCAGACUCCUACGGAGGCAGCAGUGGGGGAUAUUGCACAAUGGGGAAACCCUGAUGCAAGCAACGCCGCGUGAGGGAAGAAGGUUUUCGGAUUGUAAACCUCUGUCCUCAGGGAAGAUAAUGACGGUACCUGAGGAGGAAAGCUCCGGCUAACUACGUGCCAGCCGCCGCCGU
rnacentral:rRNA from 1 species